UACGUAGGGUGCAAGCGUUAAUCGGAAUUACUGGGCGUAAAGCGUGCGCAGGCGGUUUGGUAAGACAGAUGUGAAAUCCCCGGGCUUAACCUGGGAAUUGCAUUUGUGACUGCCCGGCUAGAGUGUGUCAGAGGGGGGUAGAAUUCCACGUGUAGCAGUGAAAUGCGUAGAUAUGUGGAGGAAUACCGAUGGCGAAGGCAGCCCCCUGGGAUAACACUGACGCUUAUGCACGAAAGCGUGGGGAGCAAACAGG
rnacentral:rRNA from 1 species